UAAGAUGAAAAUACUUGUAUAGUUGUCGAAUUUUGCCCAAUGCCAUUAACAUAAAUGAAAGUCUGGUCAAUGGCGGUCUUAACCAUAAGGAUCCAAAGGUAGCAAAAUUCAUUGUCCGCUAAAUACGGUCCUGCAUGAAUAAAGUAACGAUUGCGCCACUGUCUCUACAAGCAUCUCAGUGAAAUUGAAUU
rnacentral:rRNA from 1 species